CUGCUUUUAUGGAAGGCUUUGCCACAGCCCUGGUAGUCAAAAGGUAAUGCUAACAUUAUUGUCACAUAGAACUUUUCAUAGAUUGGAUAGUACUCUUCCUUUCUUCUUUUUCUUCUGUCUUACUGUGGUUUUAGGUUCAUCCUGUCCCUGUCAGAUUAAGUCAGACUUGAGUACGACAGGAGUGGGAACUUAUGGAAUGCCUCUGCAUCUUCUGUAGUUGGAUUUUUUUUUUUUAAUGUGUAUAACCAAAACUGCUGGUUUUAAGUGCUUUGUUGGCUAAGAAAGGGUAUCCUUAGCUGCUUUUCCUCUUUCUAGCACAAAUGUGCUUUUCCGUUGCUCACGCCUCCUUUGUUGUUCUUUAGAUGCCUGGUUCUCCCUCCCAUUAACCUGUUCCUGUUGCUUAUCUUAUGUGAGCUGCUUGCUCACAUAGCCUCUCUGCUUCUGUGCAGAGCACUGUGCCACCCAUUUCCUUCCUCCCCAGACGUGGUUUGUGUGCAGUCUCCAGAAACAAUGCCGGGAGGCAACGCCCCAGCAUUUAGAAAGCCAGGAGUGCUUCCAGGCAGGGCAAGCUCAGUCUUCAGCAGGAGGGUUGGACUUGAUCUCUUGAGGUCCCUUCCAACCCCUGCCAUUCGGUGAUUCAUUUCCUUGUCUGCAUACACAUAGCCCUAUAAUUAACUGUAGUGUUACACUCACUGCUACUUUUGAUCAUGUCUGACUAAUACACACUCUCAAAAGAAAAACAUGCUUCUUUCUAGAUUCCAGAAACUGGUGGCAGAACUGGUGUUGCUAGUAACCCUGCAGAAUUGCACAGCCUGCAUUUCGGGUGCUGGACACUUGCUCAGAUGGAAGGACUCCAUUCUGGCACUCCCAGUGGCCAGCUUUCAGAGAAACAUUCUUUCAGGUGCAGUUCUCUGUUUGGAUCUUCAUCAAAAUGGGCAUGUGGCAGGUUUAUUUAAUGCCUCUGACAUCUUCCUGUAUAUCCUGUGCUUCCUUGAAGAUAGUUUCCAGCUCCUGGACAUUUAUGCUGCAGUUGUUAAGGAGCCAAUGAAUUACUUCCUCCCCCUUUUCUGGUGGCGUAUAAUGUAAUAUAGCAGUUUCAGCUGGUUUGGGGUAGCUUACAAAUUCUAAUGAUUUCUGAAUAGCUGAAGUGAGAUACUGUCUUUAGAUACCUAACAUCACACUUGCCCUGUAGGGGAUUGUACUAAGGCUUGCAAACAUCAGCAAGUGUCCCAUAAAUCAGUAGUGCAGUCAGUUUUAGUUUCAUUUUCCAAGGAACUUCUGACAGGCAUUUGAAGAUGUGUCUAUAUUCAUGUUAUCUUUAUGUUAGGGACCCCAGAUGCCAUCACUUGUGGGCACAGCUCCCUUUAGGGCUUAUUGCACAAGUGGUGAAUACCUUCUGGACAAAUGUUUUUAUAUUAAUGCUAUGUGCUUGAUCUGUACCUGACACUUACGGUGAGCUUACCUUUGGGCAUGUUCUCAUUCGUAAUUGUCAGUGGUUAUGGCCAGUGGGCAGGGCAUUUUCUUGUCAGGGUGCUUUGUGACACACAGGACGAUUGUGGCACUGUUUAUUCUGGAGAAGGGGAGCCCCAGGGGGACUUUAUUGCUCUCUACAACUGCCUGAAGGGGAGGUUAUGAAGAGGUGGGCAUCAGCCUCUUCUCCCAGAUGAUAACAGCAAUAGGAUGAGAGGUGAUGGCCUUAAUUUGCUGUGGAGAUGUUCAGGUUGGACAUCAGGAAGAAUUUAUUCUCAGAAAGAGUGGUGAGGUGCUGGCGCAGGCUGCUCAGGGAGCUGGUGGAGUCACCAUCCCUGGAGGUGUUCAAGAACCAUGUGAAUGUGGCACUGAGGGAUGUGGUCUGGAGCAGUCCCAGGCAUGGGCUGAUGGUUGAACUUCAUGAUCUUAGUGGUCUUCCCGAUCUUAAUGGUUCUAUGAUUCUAUAAGAUGGCUAUGAAGGAGAAUGCUGAAUUUUUCCCCUGUACUCUGGAAAGUCUUGGCUUAUUGGGUUAUAAUUCUCAGUUUUUCACGAACUGCCUGUAUGAGGUUUUCUUUAGUCCCUAUUUGCAGUCUUUGCAACAUGGAGAGCAUGAAGUUAUCUCUGCGCAGUUGGCAUUCCCCCGGCUUGAUGUGGAAUGGAGAAAACAUGCAGAUUUAUGAAAGGUGGAAAAAUGAUUGUGCUGUUUUUUGGUUUUUUCUUCAAUAUUUCUCUAAGCAAAUGUUAGAAUCCUUGCAGUCUUUUUAUUUCCCCCCUCCCUGAUAUUGCAACUGCAUGAUCCAGUGUUUCAAAGGAUAAGAUAAUUUUAUUGAGAUGAAAACUUGAAUUGUGUUUUUUUGCAGGGAUGUAUCCAAGGACUAUAUCAUUUGCUAUGUACUUGUUCUGCAGCAAAAAGUUCUGGGUUGGUUCACCCUGUAGCAACCCACACUCUGUAAGUGAGAAGGUCCUGCCCUCAGCCCUUCUGCAUGCUCAUGAAGGUCAUCCCUUGGUGUACGUCACCCAAAAACACCAUAAUGGCUGAAAGCAGCAGCUUUGAGGGAUUUCUAAUUCUCUGAAAGUGCAUGUAAAUAAGAGGCAGGGGAGGAAUGCAAAUUGCUGGCCUACUGAGAGUGGUCACGUCUCCUCAUCAUGUGGAGCGAGCUGCUUGACAGCAGUUCAGACUCCAGCAGCACCAGAUGCCAUGGUGUGUCCCAGUUCCAGUGUGCUGUGAGCCCCUGCCACCCAGAGUCCCUGCAGGGACAAGGACACAGGGCUUGCGUAACAUGGUCAUCAGCAAUGAUGCUUUGACUAUUCACCUUGGUGUGUCAAGCAAAUUGCCGUUGCUGCUGUUUGGGGCUCGUAGGUUAAUGUUUUAUAUGUUAUUUCGCUGCUUCCCAUCUCCCUUCAGCUGUGCAUCUUGGAAUCUUUGUGCAUUUAUUUAACCUCCACCAAUAUUUGCUUAUUAUCUGAGCUUUCAGUGUGUUGUCAGCACAAUCUGCCCUUCAGUCCCCUCCCCGCUGUUUACCUUUGCUUACUACAUCAAAUACGGUGCAUAAUUUACACUGAAGGCCCUUUGAGGAAGGCAAUGCAUAUUUGUAAAGUAACAUCCAUGUUAGCUUUUAUUUAUUUCCCCAACAAAGAAAACUUUUUUUUCUUUCUGGAAGCAUGCUCAGCAUUAUCAAGAUUU
ensembl:lncRNA